CCUACGGGGAGCAGCAGUGAGGAAUAUUGGUCAAUGGGCGAGAGCCUGAACCAGCCAAGUCGCGUGAGGGAGUACUGCCCUAUGGGUUGUAAACCUCGUUUGUCGGGGAGCAAAAGCCGGACGUGUCCGGCUGUGAGAGUACCCGAAGAAAAAGCAUCGGCUAACUCCGUGCCAGCAGCCGCGGUAAUACGGAGGAUGCGAGCGUUAUCCGGGUUUAUGGGGUUAAAAGGGUUCGCAGGAGGAGUUUUAAGUCAGCGGUCAAAUCGUGGGUCUAAACCCCAUCCAGCCGUUGAAACUGGGGAUCUAGAGUGUGCGAGAGGUAUGCGGAAUGCGUAGUGUAGCGGUGAAAUGCAUAGAUAUCACGCAGAACCCCGAUUGCGAAGGCAGCAUACCGGUGCACAACUGACGCUCAGGCACGAAAGCGUGGGUAUCGAACAGGAGUAGAUACCCGAGUAGUC
rnacentral:rRNA from 1 species